rnacentral:rRNA from 1 species
UCCGUAGGUGAACCUGCGGAGGGAUCAUUACACAAAUAUGAAGGCGGGCUGGAACCUCUCGGGGUUACAGCCUUGCUGAAUUAUUCACCCUUGUCUUUUGCGUACUUCUUGUUUCCUUGGUGGGUUCGCCCACCACUAGGACAAACAUAAACCUUUUGUAAUUGCAAUCAGCGUCGGUAACAAAUUAAUAAUUACAACUUUCAACAACGGAUCUCUUGGUUCUGGCAUCGAUGAAGAACGCAGCGAAAUGCGAUAAGUAGUGUGAAUUGCAGAAUUCAGUGAAUCAUCGAAUCUUUGAACGCACAUUGCGCCCUUUGGUAUUCCAAAGGGCAUGCCUGUUCGAGCGUCAUUUGUACCCUCAAGCUUUGCUUGGUGUUGGGCGUCUUGUCUCUAGCUUUGCUGGAGACUCGCCUUAAAGUAAUUGGCAGCCGGCCUACUGGUUUCGGAGCGCAGCACAAGUCGCACUCUCUAUCAGCAAAGGUCUAGCAUCCAUUAAGCCUUUUUUUCAACUUUUGACCUCGGAUCAGGUAGGGAUACCCGCUGAACUUAAGCAUAUCAAUAAGCGGAGGAA